rnacentral:tRNA from 1 species
UGGGGUUGUGGCUCAGAGGUAGAGUGCUCACCUAGGACAUGAGAGGCCCUGGGUUCGAUCCUCAGCACCACAA